UACGGGGGGGGCAAGCGUUGUUCGGAAUUACUGGGCGUAAAGGGCUCGUAGGCGGCCAACUAAGUCGGAUGUGAAAUCCCCAGGCUUAACUUGGGAACUGCAUCCGAUACUGGAUGGCUUGAAUCCGGGGAGAGGGAUGUAGAAUUCCAGGUGUAGCGGUGAAAUGCGUAGAUAUCUGGAGGAAUACCGGUGGCGAAGGCGGCAUCCUGGACCGAAACUGACGCUGAGGCGCGAAAGCUAGGGGAGCAAACGGG
rnacentral:rRNA from 1 species